UACGGGGGGGGCAAGCGUUGUUCGGAAUUACUGGGCGUAAAGGGCUCGUAGGCGGCCAACUAAGUCGGACGUGAAAUCCCUCGGCUUAACCGGGGAACUGCGUCCGAUACUGGAUGGCUCGAGUGUGGGAGAGGGAUGCGGAAUUCCAGGUGUAGCGGUGAAAUGCGUAGAUAUCUGGAGGAACACCGGUGGCGAAGGCGGCAUCCUGGACCACGACUGACGCUGAAUAGCGAAAGCCAGGGGAGCAAGCGGG
rnacentral:rRNA from 1 species